UACGGAGGGGGCUAGCGUUGUUCGGAAUUACUGGGCGUAAAGCGCACGUAGGCGGCUUUGUAAGUUAGAGGUGAAAGCCCGGGGCUCAACUCCGGAAUUGCCUUUAAGACUGCAUCGCUAGAAUUGUGGAGAGGUAAGUGGAAUUCCGAGUGUAGAGGUGAAAUUCGUAGAUAUUGGGAGGAACACCAGUGGCGAAGGCGGCUCACUGGACUGGUACUGACGCUGAGGCGCGAAAGCGUGGGGAGCAAACGGG
rnacentral:rRNA from 1 species